rnacentral:piRNA from 1 species
UGUAGUAGCAUCUUAUUUCAA